UACGUAGGGAGCAAGCGUUGUUCGGAUUUACUGGGCGUAAAGGGCGCGUAGGCGGCGCGGUAAGUCACUUGUGAAAUCUCUGAGCUUAACUCAGAACGGCCAAGUGAUACUGCAGUGCUAGAGUGCAGAAAGGGCAAUCGGAAUUCUUGGUGUAGCGGUGAAAUGCGUAGAUAUCAAGAGGAACACCUGAGGCGAAGGCGGGUUGCUAGGCUGACACUGACGCUGAGUGCGCGAAAGCCAGAGGAGCAAACGGG
rnacentral:rRNA from 1 species